AACGCACAUUGCGCUCCUUGGUAUUCCGAGGAGGCAUGCCUGUUUCGAGCGUCAUUUCACCAAUCAAGCACCGCUUGGUAUUGGGUGCCAGGCCCGGGCCACCUGCCCCGGGCCCACCCCAAAGGCAUCAGCGAGGACAGCGACCCCCGGCGUGUUAAUCAUCACGAGUACGCCGGGAGCACCGCUGGGCUCUGCCGCGAAAGUAACCAAAUCAAAGGUUGACCUCGGAUCAGGUAGGGAUACCCGCUGAACUUAA
rnacentral:misc_RNA from 1 species